AAAAAAUUUGAUCUUGCUUUUAAAUAACUGUCUUGGAUUUUGAAAUUUACUUAGGAUCAAUAAUGCUCAGUUCCUUCUUACCAUUUUCUUAUUUGUUGGUGUUUUUAUUUGAUUUAAUAGCAUCAAGCUACUUUUGUUAUUUGCAAAAAAGUGCAUAAACAUUCAUUCCUAAUGUGAGCACUUUUUGUACAAAAGAAACUAGAAAGUUUUUCAUGUAAGGUUUGGGAUGAAUAUGUUAAUUCUUGGAAGAAGAUGUUACAUGACAAACAUAUCUUCAAAGAAU
rnacentral:lncRNA from 1 species